rnacentral:tRNA from 1 species
UUUAGGGAGACCAACGGAAAUCACUGCCGAACCCAAAUAACUAGGCAGGAUGGAAGUCAUCCCAAGGUCGGGCGAGGAAAAGGUUAAUUUUGUGCUUUCAAACUAAACAGGUGGCGGGACAAGGGCUAUUAGCUCAGGUGGUUAGAGCGCACCCCUGAUAAGGGUGAGGUCCCUGGUUCGAGUCCAGGAUGGCCCACCUGAACCAAAUCAUGAUUAUUGUGAAUUGGUAGAUGGGGGUAUAGCUCAGUUGGUAGAGCGCUGCCUUUGCAAGGCAGAUGCCAGCGGUUCGAGUCCGCUUACCUCCACCAGAAAAAGCAUCAACCAACGAAUUCAGCAACGAUACGAGUUGAUUAAAACCGUAGCGCCUGCUGGACAAUCGUGCCAGUCAGAACCUAGAAAACUGCAUAGUCACAAGAAAGUCAGGUAGCAGUUAGUAGUGCAAGCUAUUAACGAAGUAUCACAGACACCAAAUUAGUGAGAGAAAAGUGUCA